UAGCAUAUCAAUAAGCGGAGGAAAAGAAACCAACAGGGAUUGCCCUAGUAACGGCGAGUGAAGCGGCAACAGCUCAAAUUUGAAAUCUGGCGUCUUUGGCGUCCGAGUUGUAAUUUGCAGAGGGCGCUUUGGCAUUGGCAGCGGUCCAAGUUCCUUGGAACAGGACGUCACAGAGGGUGAGAAUCCCGUACGUGGUCGCUAGCCUUUACCGUGUAAAGCCCCUUCGACGAGUCGAGUUGUUUGGGAAUGCAGCUCUAAAUGGGAGGUAAAUUUCUUCUAAAGCUAAAUACUGGCCAGAGACCGAUAGCGCACAAGUAGAGUGAUCGAAAGAUGAAAAGCACUUUGGAAAGAGAGUUAAAAAGCACGUGAAAUUGUUGAAAGGGAAGCGCUUGCAGCCAGACUUGCCUGUAGUUGCUCAUCCGGGUUUUUACCCGGUGCACUCUUCUGCGGGCAGGCCAGCAUCAGUUUGGGCGGUUGGAUAAAGGUCUCUGUCAUGUACCUCUCUUCGGGGAGAACUUAUAGGGGAGACGACAUGCAACCAGCCUGGACUGAGGUCCGCGCAUCUGCUAGGAUGCUGGCGUAAUGGCUGUAAGCGGCCCGUCUUGAAACACGGACCAAGGAGUCUAACAUCUAUGCGAGUGUUUGGGUGUCAAGCCCGAGCGCGUAAUGAAAGUGAACGGAGGUGGGAACCUUUCGGGGUGCACCAUCGACCGAUCCUGAUGUCUUCGGAUGGAUUUGAGUAAGAGCAUAGCUGUUGGGACCCGAAAGAUGGUGAACUAUGCUUGAAUAGGGUGAAGCCAGAGGAAACUCUGGUGGAGGCUCGCAGCGGUUCUGACGUGCAAAUCGAUCGUCAAAUUUGGGCAUAGGGGCGAAAGACUAAUCGAACUAUCUAGUAGCUGGUUCCUGCGA
rnacentral:rRNA from 1 species